rnacentral:rRNA from 1 species
UCCUACGGGCGGCAGCAGUGGGGAAUAUUGGACAAUGGGGGAAACCCUGAUCCAGCGACGCCGCGUGAGUAAAGAAGUAUUUCGGUACGUAAAUCUCUAUCAGCAGGAAAGAAAAUGACGGUACCUGACUAAGAAGCCCCGGCUAAAUACGUGCCAGCAGCCGCGGUAAUACGGAGGAUGCGAGCGUUAUCCGGAUUUAUUGGGUUUAAAGGGUGCGCAGGCGGCACGGCAAGCCGGCGGUCAAAUCGCGGGGCUCAACCCCGCCCAGCCGACGGAACUGCCAGGCUAGCGUGGGAGA